GAACGAGAAAGUGGAGCAAUCCAUGAGUAAAGUGGCGACCGGGUGAGUAACACGUGACUAACCUGCCCUUGAGUGGGGGAUAACCUCGGGAAACCGGGGCUAAUACCGCAUAACAUCGCAAGAUCAAAGGAGCAAUCCGCUGAAGGAGGGGGUCGCGGCUGAUUAGUUAGUUGGUGAGGUAACGGCUCACCAAGACGAAGAUCAGUAGCCGGCCUGAGAGGGCGCACGGCCACACUGGAACUGAAACACGGUCCAGACUCCUACGGGAGGCAGCAGUGGGGAAUUUUGCGCAAUGGGGGAAACCCUGACGCAGCAACGCCGCGUGGAGGAUGAAGUCCCUUGGGAUGUAAACUCCUUUCGAUCGGGACGAUGAUGACGGUACCGGAAGAAGAAGCACCGGCUAACUCUGUG
rnacentral:rRNA from 1 species